CAAUAGCGUAUAUUAAAGUUGUUGCGGUUAAAAAGCUCGUAGUUGGAUUUCUGCUGAGAACGACCGGUCCGCCCUUUGGGUGUGUAUCUGGCUCUUUCUUGGCAUCUUCUUGGUGAACGUUGCUGCACUUGACUGUGUGGAGCGCUACCCAGGACUUUUACUUUGAGGAAAUUAGAGUGUUUCAAGCAGGCAUACGCCUUGAAUACAUUAGCAUGGAAUAAUAAGAUAGGACCUCGGUUCUAUUUUGUUGGUUUCUAGAGCUGAGGUAAUGAUUAAUAGGGAUAGUUGGGGGCAUUCGUAUUUAACUGUCAGAGGUGAAAUUCUUGGAUUUGUUAAAGUCGGACUACUGCGAAAGCAUUUGCCAAGGAUGUUUNCAUUG
rnacentral:rRNA from 1 species